rnacentral:rRNA from 1 species
UGGGGAAUUUUGGACAAUGGGCGCAAGCCUGAUCCAGCAAUGCCGCGUGCAGGAUGAAGGCCUUCGGGUUGUAAACUGCUUUUGUACGGAGCGAAAAGGUCUGCCCUAAUACGGUGGGCUCAUGACGGUACCGUAAGAAUAAGCACCGGCUAACUACGUGCCAGCAGCCGCGGUAAUACGUAGGGUGCGAGCGUUAAUCGGAAUUACUGGGCGUAAAGCGUGCGCAGGCGGUUAUGCAAGACAGAGGUGAAAUCCCCGGGCUCAACCUGGGACCUGCAUUUGUGACUGUAUAGCUAGAGUUCGGUAGAGGGGGAUGGAAUUCCGCGUGUAGCAGUGAAAUGCGUAGAUAUGCGGAGGAACACCGAUGGCGAAGGCAAUCCCCUGGACCUGUACUGACGCUCAUGCACGAAAGCGUGGGGAGCAAACA